rnacentral:rRNA from 1 species
CGGAAUUACUGGGCGUAAAGCGUGCGCAGGCGGUCUUGCAAGACAGGUGUGAAAUCCCCGGGCUUAACCUGGGAACUGCACUUGUGACUGCAAGGCUGGAGUACGGCAGAGGGGGAUGGAAUUCCGCGUGUAGCAGUGAAAUGCGUAGAUAUGCGGAGGAACACCGAUGGCGAAGGCAAUCCCCUGGGCCUGUACUGACGCUCAUGCACGAAAGCGUGGGGAGCAAACAGGAUUAGAUACCCUGGUAGUCCACGCCCUAAACGAUGUCAACUGGUUGUUGGAGACUUCCUUAGUACCGCAGCUAACGCGUGAAGUUGACCGCCUGGGGAGUACGGUCGCAAGAUUAAAACUCAAAGGAAUUGACGGGGACCCGCACAAGCGGUGGAUUAUGUGGAUUAAUUCGAUGCAAC